GGGGCUGCUCCCAGUACGAGAGGACCGGAGUGGACGCAUCACUGGUGUUCGGGUUGUCAUGCCAAUGGCACUGCCCGGUAGCUAAAUGCGGAAGAGAUAAGUGCUGAAAGCAUCUAAGCACGAAACUUGCCCCGAGAUGAGUUCUCCCUGAGACUAUAAGUCUCCUGAAGGAACGUUGAAGACGACGACGUUGAUAGGCCGGGUGUGUAAGCGCAGCGAUGCGUUGAGCUAACCGGUACUAAUGAACCGUGAGGCUUAACCUUACAACGACAAAGAAGU
rnacentral:rRNA from 1 species